rnacentral:rRNA from 1 species
GUAAUAUAUAGAUAACGUGCCUCUUAGUCUGGGAUAGCCAUUGGAAACGAUGAUUAAUACCGGAUACUCCUUCUAACUCUAAUGUUAGUCGGGAAAGUUUUUCGCUAAGAGAUCGGUCUAUAUCCCAUCAGUUAGUUGGUAAGGUAACGGCUUACCAAGGCAAUGACGGGUAGCGGGUUUGAGAGGAUGAUCCGCCACUCUGGUACUGAGACACGGACCAGACUCCUACGGGAGGCAGCAGUGAGGAAUAUUGCACAAUGGGGGAAACCCUGAUGCAGCAACGCCGCGUGGAGGAUGACGCAUUUCGGUGUGUAAACUCCUUUUAUGAGUCAAGAAAAUGACGGUAGCUCAUGAAUAAGCACCGGCUAACUCCGUGCCAGCAGCCGCGGUAAUACGGAGGGUGCAAGCGUUACUCGGAAUCACUGGGCGUAAAGGACGCGUAGGCGGGAUGCCAAGUCUGAUGUGAAAUCCUAUGGCUUAACCAUAGAACUGCAUUGGAAACUGGUAACCUAGAGUAUGGGAGGGGGAGAUGGAAUUAGUGGUGUAGGGGUAAAAUCCGUAGAUAUCACUAGGAAUACCGAAAGCGAAGGCGAUCUCCUGGAACAUAACUGACGCUAAGGCGUGAAAGCGUGGGGAGCAAACGGGAUUAGAUACCCCGGUAGUCCACGCCCUAAACGAUGAACACUAGUCGUCGCUCUGCUUGUCAGGGCGGUGAUGCACUUAACAGAUUAAGUGUUCCGCCUGGGGAGUACGGUCGCAAGAUUAAAACUCAAAGGAAUAGACGGGGACCCGCACAAGUGGUGGAGCAUGUGGUUUAAUUCGAAGAUACGCGAAGAACCUUACCUAGCCUUGACAUUGAUAGAAUACCCUAGAGAUAGAGUAGUGCCUUUCGGGGAACUUGAAAACAGGUGCUGCACGGCUGUCGUCAGCUCGUGUCGUGAGAUGUUGGGUUAAGUCCCGCAACGAGCGC